rnacentral:lncRNA from 1 species
AAGCAGUGCAGGGUCAGGAAUCUGCAUUGGAAGAGCUCUCUGCGCUGCUGGAUUCUCUGCUCCAGGGCUCUUCCAGAUCCUGGGGGGACAGCUCUGACAACAGCAGGUCCCCACACAAUGUGAAGAGGAAGUUAAGCAGGGUGCUGUGAUCUGCAAAGGAAGAGCUGCUGCAGGGGCAAGGGUGUGGCUCUGAGGAGGGGAUGGGGGGCAGGACAGAGCCGGACGGACGAAUACAUUUGGGGGGGGGGUUGCAGGCAGAGGGAGCAGCAACCACAGUAGCACAGAGGCCAGACAAGGAAGGAGCUUGGUCUUUUGCCUGGGGUGCUUUUGUCAGAAAGCCUCUCCAUUCCACUCCCUGUGAUGCCUCCUCUGGGAACCCUUCGCUGACCACCGCAGCUACCUUAGUCCCAUGUGCCUGCCAGCUCUCCAUGCUCACGCAGUUCACAUCCUGUGCUGUCUCUGUGAGAAAGCUGCCUGCCUCAUGCACAUGCUUCUCCCAGCCCUCCUCCCCUGUGUAACUUGGACAUGACCAACCCCAAGCCCUAGCUGUCCAAAUGAGCGUGGUUGUUCAAGUCAAGCCAAUGGGAGAGAGAACUGCAGGAAAGAUCUGGAAAGUGGAGUUCUCCUGCUGCUGCUGCUUAAGUAAGGCUGGGGCUGCUGGGCGUCAUGUUUGCCCUGAGGAGGAGAGAAUACACAAACACAGGAAAUCAAUAUUAGAGAGGGAACAGGGGGCUGAGGAGGAAAGAGGAGAGGGGAAGGAGAGAGAGCUCAGUGAAUUACUUAAACACUGGGAUCCAGCCAUCUCUGAGACCCAUGCUCCCCCGAGUUUUCCAGAAGAACCAAUACAUUCCCUUUUGUGCCUGGUUUCCGUCGCUCCUGAGAGAAGGUCUGAUACAGCCUCAGAGAUCUGCACAUGUAGCUGAGGUACUCUACCCUGGAGGGAUGUGGGCAGAGGCUUCCUUCUCUCCGAAACCACUCCUACUCCAGGGACUACAGUUCUCUGAGACCUGAGCCUGGGGCUGCAAGGCAGGAUUGCAGUGCAAGCAAGGUCAGAGGCCAAAGCCGGCAGAAACUGCAGGGAGCAGGGCGGGUUGGGGCUGGGUUUGCAUUGUUAAUGUCAACAUCCAUCUUCCUUGAGUCUUCUUUGCAGGGAUGGCCCUAAAUUCAUUAGCCUGCUUAUUAGUUCUGGCCACCAUUCAGGAAAGGUCGUUUCC